AAAGAGAGGUCAUGGGCAGAGGAAUGUCUGCUGCGUCUGCAUUACCGUACAGGGUUCUAAAACAGCAGGAGGGUCCAGGUGUCCGCUAAGCCUAGGCGCUCAGACAGGCUCAGCCUGACUCAUGCAGAGGCAGAGAGAAGCCCAGUCUGUCACCGUCUGGCUGCGCGCAGUCAUAUAUACCAGAGCCUACCCGGCAGACCGGCAAAGAGCUUAGUCUUCACACACACACUCACACACACACACACACACACACACUCUCUGCAGGAGGGAAAUAGCCAGCCACCGGAGGACUCGUCUGAGCAGUGCUGAAGGUACAAAACAACUCUCACUUUUUUAUAAAGAAAAGUCUUGUCAGGUUCAUGACUUAAGUUACAAAUAUUAAUGGAAUCUAAUAGAAAGAAAAGAAAUAGUGGUUUAAUGUUUUUUAGAAACUGUUUUUAGAAGCACAGGUGAUAGAACAAGGAGAUAUAUAUCUUAAGUAGCCGAUUAAAGACUAAAGUAGUAUUAAGUACUAAAGUAACUGAAGAAUAGAUUAUAGAUGUUAAGAUUCUUUGGUUUGUUAGGUUGUUUGAAUUGGGGUUGUUGUGAUGGAGAAGCACUUUGAAAAGUGACUGCUGUUUGCUAAAAAAUGUACUGGAUAUCAGCCUGUCAGAUCGUAAACUCGUCAUUCUUCAUUCUUAUCUUCAUGAAGGUACUUCUAUCUUUGACUUGCUGAACGGUUUAAAGUGUGACUUUACGAUAAUAUUUCUUUGACUGUAUGUGUGCGAGAGAGACAGGUACAAUGAGAGAGAGAGAGAGAGAGAGAGAGAGAGGUAAAGACAGAGAUAAUGAGAGAAUGAGAGAAUGAGUAAUAGAGUGAGGGGAGAUGUAUUUGUUUGACUGUAUGUGUGUGAGAGAGAGGUACAAUGAGAGACAGAGAGACAGAGAGACAGAGGCAGAGAGACAGAGACAGAGAGAAUGAGAAAUAGAGUGAGGGGCGAUGUAGAGAAGGCAGAGAGGCUUGUGUGUGCUUUGUCUGACUUGCCGG
rnacentral:lncRNA from 1 species